UACGAAGGGAGCUAGCGUUGUUCGGAAUCACUGGGCGUAAAGCGCACGUAGGCGGAUGUGUCAGUCAGGGGUGAAAUCCCGGAGCUCAACUUCGGAACUGCCUUUGAUACAGCACGUCUUGAGUCCGAUAGAGGUGGGUGGAAUUCCUAGUGUAGAGGUGAAAUUCGUAGAUAUUAGGAAGAACACCGGUGGCGAAGGCGGCCCACUGGAUCGGUACUGACGCUGAGGUGCGAAAGCGUAGGGAGCAAACAGG
rnacentral:rRNA from 1 species